rnacentral:rRNA from 1 species
AUCUGGGCGUAAGCGCGCGUAGGCGGUUAAUUAAGUCAGAUGUGAAAUCCCAGGGCUCAUCCUUGGAACUGCAUUUGAAACUGGUUAACUAGAGUUUUGUAGAGGGUGGUAGAAUUUCAGGUGUAGCGGUGAAAUGCGUAGAGAUCUGAAGGAAUACCAGUGGCGAAGGCGGCCACCUGGACAAUAACUGACGCUGAGGCGCGAAGGCGUGGGGAGCAAACGGGAUUAGAUACCCCGGUAGUCCACGCAGUAAACGAUGUCUAUUAGAAUUUUGUGGCUAUAUGCCGUGGGAUUCAAAGCUAACGCAUUAAAUAGACCGCCUGGGGAGUACGGCCGCAAGGUUAAAACUCAAAUGAAUUGACGGGGGCCCGCACAAGCGGUGGAGCAUGUGGUUUAAUUCGAUGCAACGCGAAGAACCUUACCAUCCCUUGACAUCCAGAGAAUCACCAAGAGAUUGAUGAGUGCCUUCGGGAACUCUGAGACAGGUGCUGCAUGGCUGUCGUCAGCUCGUGUUGUGAAAUGUUGGGUUAAGUCCCGCAACGAGCGCAACCCUUAUCCUUAUUUGCCAGCGGGUUAUGCCGGGAACUCUAGGGACACUGCCGGUGAUAAACCGGAGGAAGGUGGGGACGACGUCAAGUCAUCAUGGCCCUUACGGGAUGGGCUACACACGUGCUACAAUGGCAAAUACAAAGGGCUGCUAACCAGCGAUGGUAUGCGAAUCUCCUAAAGUUUGUCGUAGUCCGGAUCGGAGUCUGCAACUCGACUCCGUGAAGUUGGAAUCGCUAGUAAUCGUGGAUCAGAAUGCCACGGUGAAUACGUUCCCGGGCCUUGUACACACCGCCCGUCACACCAUGGGAGUGGGCUGCACCAGAAGUCAUUAGCUUAACCUUCGGGAUGGCGAUGACCACGGUGUGGUUCAUGACUGGG